rnacentral:rRNA from 1 species
AUUGAACGCUGGCGGCAGGCCUAACACAUGCAAGUCGAACGAGUGGCGGACGGGUGAGUAAUGUCUGGGAAACUGCCUGAUGGAGGGGGAUAACUACUGGAAACGGUAGCUAAUACCGCAUACCAUCAGAUGUGCCCAGAUGGGAUUAGCUAGUGGGUGGGGUAAAGGCUCACCAAGGCGACGAUCCCUAGCUGGUCUGAGAGGAUGAACAGCCACACUGGAACUGAGAAACGGUCCAGACGCCUACGGUAGGCAGCAGUGGGGAAUAUUGCACAAUGGGCGCAAGCCUGAUGCAGCCAUGCCGCGUGUAUGAAGAAGGCCUUCGGGUUGUAAAGUACUUUCAGCGGGGAGGCGUUACCCGCAGAAGAAGCACCGGCUAACUCCGUGCCAGCAGCCGCGGUAAUAC